UACGUAGGUGGCAAGCGUUAUCCGGAAUUAUUGGGCGUAAAGCGCGCGCAGGUGGUUUCUUAAGUCUGAUGUGAAAGCCCACGGCUCAACCGUGGAGGGUCAUUGGAAACUGGGAGACUUGAGGUGCAGAAGAGGAAAGUGGAAUUCCAUGUGUAGCGGUGAAAUGCGUAGAGAUAUGGAGGAACACCAGUGGCGAAGGCGACGUUUCUGGUCUGAUUCUUGACGCUGAGGCGCGAAAGCUAGGGGAGCAAACGGG
rnacentral:rRNA from 1 species